UUGAACGCUGGCGGUAUGCUUAACACAUGCAAGUCGAACGAUGAGAAAGAGCUUGCUCUUUCGAUUAGUGGCGGACGGGUGCGUAACGCGUAGGAAUCUACCUAUUAGUGGGGGACAACUUAGGGAAACUUAAGCUAAUACCGCAUACGCCCUACGGGGGAAAGAAGGGGAUCGCAAGACCUUUUGCUAAUAGAUGAGCCUGCGUAGGAUUAGCUAGUUGGUGGGGUAAAAGCUCACCAAGGCGACGAUCCUUAACUGGUUUGAGAGAAUGAUCAGUCACACUGGAACUGAGACACGGUCCAGACUCCUACGGGAGGCAGCAGUGGGGAAUAUUGGACAACGGGCGAAAGCCUGAUCCAGCAAUACCGCGUGGGUGAAGAAGGCCUUCGGGUUGUAAAGCCCUUUUGUUGGGAAAGAAAAGCAGCCGGCUAAUACCCGGUUGUUCUGACGGUACCCAAAGAAUAAGCACCGGCUAACUUCGUGCCAGCCGCCGCGGUAAAAC
rnacentral:rRNA from 1 species